rnacentral:rRNA from 1 species
UACAGAGGGUGCGAGCGUUAAUCGGAAUUACUGGGCGUAAAGCGCACGUAGUCGGCUUUGCAAGUCGGUUGUGAAAUCCCCGGGCUCAACCUGGGAACUGCAUCCGAGACUGCAUUGCUAGAGUAUGGGAGAGGAAAGCGGAAUUUCUGGUGUAGCAGUGAAAUGCGUAGAUAUCAGAAGGAACAUCAGUGGCGAAGGCGGCUUUCUGGACCAACUACUGACGAUCAGGUGCGAAAGCGUGGGGAGCAAACAGG